rnacentral:rRNA from 1 species
AUUGAACGCUGGCGGCAGGCCUAACACAUGCAAGUCGAACGGAGUGGCGGACGGGUGAGUAAUGCCUAGGAAUCUGCCUGGUAGUGGGGGAUAACGUCCGGAAACGGGAGCUAAUACCGCAUACUAUCAGAUGAGCCCAGGUUGGAUUAGCUAGUUGGUGGGGUAAAGGCCUACCAAGGCGACGAUCCGUAACUGGUCUGAGAGGAUGAUCAGUCACACUGGAACUGAGACACGGUCCAGACUCCUACGGGAGGCAGCAGUGGGGAAUAUUGGACAAUGGGCGAAAGCCUGAUCCAGCCAUGCCGCGUGUGUGAAGAAGGUCUUCGGAUUGUAAAGCACUUUAAGUUGGGAGGCGUUACCAACAGAAUAAGCACCGGCUAACUUCGUGCCAGCAGCCGCGGUAAUAC